UAAAAGUACGUCGGCGCAGUUGUUUGACUAACAGUUGGUUUCCGUUCUCAAACUUGCAAUCAUCAAAUCAUCAAAACAUGUGGCCCAGGAGUUCCUUCACGUUCCUUUUUGGAGUUGUGCUGUUAAUCACUGUAGCUAUGACUCAAGCCCAGCCUGAAGAUGGAUGGGGUGGUGGGCCUGGCCCGAGGCCAUGGUAGGAGACCAAGCUUGUAAGUGUAUUUCACGCAAUCUCAACUGCCAAUCAAGGCCGCGUGCUAACUGGUUUAUAACCAGGGAAAACUAUUGCGAGAAGAUAAAAAUUGUAGAACCUGCCGCCGAAUGCAAAGAUUAAUGAGACACAAUGAUUGACGGAAUGUUAACUGAUUUAAAAUAUGCAAAUUUUUAAUUUUCCAAGAACUAAUUUUCGACCUCAAAAAGUUCAAUUCACUUUUAUAAAAAAUUAUAUUUCUUCCAAUAAAAUUAUGUGACUUCAUAUGAAA